AUUGAACGCUGGCGGCAUGCCUAACACAUGCAAGUCGAGCGGAUGAGGGGAGCUUGCUCCUGCGGUCAGCGGCGGACGGGUGAGUAAUGCCUAGGAAUGUGCCUGGUAGUGGGGGAUAGCGUCCGGAAACGGGCACUAAUACCGCAUACGUCCUGAGGGAGAAAGUGGGGGAUCUUCGGACCUCACGCUAUCGGAUCAGCCGAUGUCGGAUUAGCUAGUUGGUGGGGUAAAGGCCUACCAAGGCGACGAUCCGUAACUGGUCUGAGAGGAUGAUCAGUCACACUGGAACUGAGACACGGUCCAGACUCCUACGGGAGGCAGCAGUGGGGAAUAUUGGACAAUGGGCGAAAGCCUGAUCCAGCAAUGCCGCGUGUGUGAAGAAGGUCUUCGGAUUGUAAAGCACUUUAAGCUGGGAGGAAGAGCAGUAAGUUAAUACCUUGCUGCUAUGACGUUACCCACAGAAUAAGCACCGGCUAACUUCGUG
rnacentral:rRNA from 1 species